CGAGAAUGACCUCCUAUUAUUGCAUCACAUUCCGAGCAAGAAUCUGUUCCUGCACAAGAAAAAUCUCUUGAGACCAUCGAUAACCAGCGACACAGCGACUGGUAGCAGUUAGCAGUGACACAGCGACUAGUAGUUAUUCGCAGCAUUAAGCAGUGAUUCGCAGCGAUCUGUAUUUCUCUUGUACUGUUGGACAUUACUAUCUGUGUUUUUCAGCUGGUUUUGCCUUAGAGUUUACAACCAAGACCUGAACUUCUAAAGGAGCUUCUGUGCCUCAAGACAGGUACAAUGUGAUUGAGGUACAAAGAAAGCAGCCAAGUUAUCUCAAGACAGGUACCCUAUGGUUGAAGUUGCAAGAGAGCCCCACACGAAUUUAUGGAGAUACUAGAGAUCCAGAUCCUUUCUGCCUCUGGAUGGAGCUCAAAUCUUCUUUAAUUCCAGACUGCUGGGACUACGGCUGCUCUUAACGCCAUACAGACUUCAUAUAAAUCCAUAAUGAACUCUUUCACAAUAUCUGUUGUUACCCAGAUGAGGAUGGGUUCCCUUCUGAGUCGGGUUCCUCUCAAGGUUUCUUCCUCUUAAAACAUCUUAGGGAGUUUUUCCUUGCCACCGUCGCCACUCAGUGGCUUGCUCAGUUGGGAUAAAUUCGCACCUUUAAUAUCUGUAUACCAUGUUGAUAUUUCUGUAGAGCUGCUUUGAGACAAUGUCUAUUGUAAAAAGCGCUAUACAAAUAAAAUUGAAUUGAAUUGAAAAA
ensembl:lncRNA